rnacentral:rRNA from 1 species
AACGAACGCUGGCGGCAUGCCUAACACAUGCAAGUCGAACGAGACCUUCGGGUCUAGUGGCGCACGGGUGCGUAACGCGUGGGAACCUGCCCUUAGGUUCGGAAUAACUCCCCGAAAGGGGUGCUAAUACCGGAUAAUGUCUUCGGACCAAAGAUUUAUCGCCUUUGGAUGGGCCCGCGUUGGAUUAGCUAGUUGGUAGUGUAAAAGCCUACCAAGGCGAGGAUCCAUAGCUGGUCUGUGAGGAUGAUCAGCCACACUGGGACUGCGACACGGCCCAGACUCCUACGGGAGGCAGCAGUGGGGAAUAUUGGACAAUGGGCGAAAGCAUGAUCCAGCAAUGCCGCGUGAGUGAUGAAGGCCUUAGGGUUGUAAAGCUCUUUUACCCGGGAUGAUAAUGACAGUACCGGGAGAAUAAGCUCCGGCUAACUCCGUG